GUCCGGCUAGCUCAGUUGGUACAGCAUGAGACUCUUAAUCUCGGGGUCAUGGAUUCGAACGCCGUAUUGGACG